GCGACUGUGGUCUAGUGGUUUAGGAUACCUCCCUGUCACGGAGUGUGGUCGUGGGUUCAAAUCCCAUCAGUCGCG
rnacentral:tRNA from 1 species